rnacentral:lncRNA from 15 species
CGAAGACUAGAAAGGCGCUAUACAAGUACAGGUCCAUUUACUAUUUACUGCUAUACAAGUACAUAACUGUUGUCAGUCAGUGCAGAAAUAAGAGGUUGAACAGUUGAAAACCAACCUGCACCACCACAGAGAACCAAAAACCUGGAUAAUGUAAGAAUGAUGUGCAGGGAAAAGAAUAACCACGUUAUUCAUGUUCUGUUACAUAAUCAUUGUAUCUUCCUUAAUAUAAUGAAAACUGGGAUAUGAGUGUGCAUGUAGACAUACUCACUGUCACUGCAGUGUUCUCUUGAUGCUCCAGAAUGAGAAACUGGUCAAGACCAGGACAUUUGCAAUUUUAAAUAAGUACAAAUCAUUUCCAAAAUUAACAAAAGUAUCCGGUGGUGUGGCCUGUGCUGUUGGCUGCAUGAUUUCACUGGGGGCUGGAAAUGUGAUAUGUAUAGACAGACAGAAAUAGAGCUACAUGCAUACACACUAUCAUGUUUUGCUUGCACACACAAUGUGUGUGUGUGUGUGUGUGUGUGUGUGUGUGUGUGUGUGUGUGUGUGUGUGUGUGUGUGUGUGUGUGUGUGUGUGUGUGUGUGUGUGUGUGUGUGUGUGUGUGUGUACAAAAUCUUCUUCUUAUCAAAGCUCCUAGGUGUGUGUGUGUGUGUGUGUGCAAUAAAGCCAGCCAUGACAUGGAUCAUUACUUAAAAUCCUAGUGAAUCACUGUAUCCUCAUUUAUCCUGCUAACUUUUCCUUUGUUUUCCUUGUUGACCACAGACCUAGUCCAAUCUGGCUAGAAAGUAAUUUGAGCAAGGAUUUUUUUUUUAGAUCUCAGAAACAGCAGUUGACAGAAACGGUUACACCACAAGAUCCAUGAGUAGCUGCUCUCUUUUAAUUUAGUCUCACAUCAUUUUCCCGAGUAGCCCUGAUAGCUCACCUGGUAGAGCUGGCGCUCCAUGGACAAAGACUGAGUCCCUGCUGCAGCCAUGGGUUUGAGUCAGACCUGGCGCUUUGCUGCAUGUCAUCCCCUCUCUGUUUUCCCCUUUCCUGUUUGUCUCGAGCUGUCCUGUCAAUUAAAGGCAAAAGCCCCCCAAAAAUAUUUUAAUAAGAAGAAAGAAAUAUGAUGACAGCCUUGUAUUCAAAAAAAGCAGGAGGGUUGUGCUGGUGGUGGUGAGUUGUUGUUAGGUACAGGUAAGACAAUGUAAUAGAAUUCAGGAAAUCCAGUUUUAGAAACAGAUCCAUGUGUUUGAAGAUUUAUAAAAUGCCUAACACUGCACAGAGGAUUAUAGUUCUGUGAGACAGGAUUUAACAAUUGUUACAGCCAGUUUUUACCUUUUGUUGCGAUGAUCCCAAGGUAAAAAGUAGAAACACAGUGUUCAUGUUACAAAAGCUGCCUUUCCAACUUGAGUAAAGCACCCUUUAAACCCAUACCUAACCACGUACCUUAACCCCAAAUCUGUUUUGUGUUUCCUCUGCAGACAGUACUCUCAAAUUUAGGCAGGAUUAUUACUGUUUCUUCGGGGCUAACCCCCUUCGCUUUUCCAGCAGUUGGGAAACAACAUUCCCUGACUUUUCAUGGUCUUGAGAAGAUAAGAUAAGGAACACAGAGAUGCCCAGAGGUGCCAACAUUCAUGGCGAGAAAGAGGAGGCCAUAUGCCGGAAAAUUUGGAAGAACCUCUGCGAGCGAUUCGGAAAAUCAAAAAAGAGGUUGCCAUUGUUUACCUUUUUCUUCUUCUUCUAGUGCGUAGAAAUAGCAAAGUUGGUAGUCUUUCCUCAGUUGCGACACCUCUGUUCAGGAGAAGACUGCAACUAGUGUUGCGACAACCACACGCAAGUAUAAAUAGUUACAGGUUGGGAACGGCGAGUAUAUAACAGCCUUUACUCUGCUCCAUUCGCCAUCACUUUUCUGUCUCUGUCUGUCUCACUUGCUCCUCGCUUUGACUUGCUCCUCGGUAUGCACACAUGGUAUGUGGUUGUUUAUUAGCUUACAAGGACACAAGCUUUGUUUGAGAAAAUGCUGCAGGCAGAUGCAACAACGAGAUGACAAACCAGGAGGGAAUAGUUAGUGGUUCUAUUGGUACUACCCACAACUUCUGACAAUGAAAACACAAAAAUGACUUUUCUAAUAUGUAACAAACUGAACCAAACUGAGCUGGACUGCUUGUUGGAAACAGGGAUACCAGUAACAACCAGUACCAGGAGCAGCAGUUGGUUGUUUUGAAUGCAGAUAUAUCCCGGUUAAGAGAAAACCGAAUAUACAGGCUGAAGUAGAUAGAAGUUGAGAUGCUGAGGCAUAAUAAUUUAGUUAAACUAUUUUGAUAAUUGGUUAAUCAAAGAAAAAAGUCAUAAUUUUCAGAUUUCAGUUUCUAAACACCUCUAAACUGGUUUCUUUAGUCACUUUAUGACAGUAAACUGAAUAUCUUUGGGUUGUGGACAAAACAAGAUAUUUGAGGACGUCACUUUGGGCUUUGGAAACAGCAAUCAACAUUUUUCACAAUUUUCUGACAUUUUAUGGACUAAUCUACGAAUUGAUUAAUUUAGAAAAUGAACAGUUAAAUCAAUUAUGAAAACAAUUGUUAGUUUCAGCCCUAAGGUAAAAAUCUUCUGCAAGUUUCUGAUCCGAUCUGCUGUCUAUCCAAAACAUAUGUUGAUAUUAACAAUGUGAUGGUAAAAGUGAAAGUCCAACACUGGUAAUGCAGAGGAUACAUUUGAUCAGUGGUCCUGUGUUCUGUUUCUCAUCUGUUACUCAGAUGGAUUAAAUCCUGUGGUAAACGCAGCACUCCACAUAGCCAAAACACAAACUGAGUUCAGCCUCAACUAAAGCGGGUUGUCCACUAAUCACAAGGUUCCCUGGCUCCUCCUGCCACGUGGCGAAGUAUCAAGUAGCAAGAUACUGAAUGCCGAAUUGCUCCUGAUGCUGAGUCAUCAGUAUGAAUGUGUUUUUGUUCGGUUUCUGUUCGGUGUGAAUGUGUGUGAAAGGGUGAAUGUGGCCUGUGGUGUAAAAGGGCUUUGAGUGGUCCGAAGACUAGAAAGGCGCUAUACAAGUACAGGUCCAUUUACUAUUUACUGCUAUACAAGUACAUAACUGUUGUCAGUCAGUGCAGAAAUAAGAGGUUGAACAGUUGAAAACCAACCUGCACCACCACAGAGAACCAAAAACCUGGAUAAUGUAAGAAUGAUGUGCAGGGAAAAGAAUAACCACGUUAUUCAUGUUCUGUUACAUAAUCAUUGUAUCUUCCUUAAUAUAAUGAAAACUGGGAUAUGAGUGUGCAUGUAGACAUACUCACUGUCACUGCAGUGUUCUCUUGAUGCUCCAGAAUGAGAAACUGGUCAAGACCAGGACAUUUGCAAUUUUAAAUAAGUACAAAUCAUUUCCAAAAUUAACAAAAGUAUCCGGUGGUGUGGCCUGUGCUGUUGGCUGCAUGAUUUCACUGGGGGCUGGAAAUGUGAUAUGUAUAGACAGACAGAAAUAGAGCUACAUGCAUACACACUAUCAUGUUUUGCUUGCACACACAAUGUGUGUGUGUGUGUGUGUGUGUGUGUGUGUGUGUGUGUGUGUGUGUGUGUGUGUGUGUGUGUGUGUGUGUGUGUGUGUGUGUGUGUGUGUGUGUGUGUGUGUGUGUACAAAAUCUUCUUCUUAUCAAAGCUCCUAGGUGUGUGCAAUAAAGCCAGCCAUGACAUGGAUCAUUACUUAAAAUCCUAGUGAAUCACUGUAUCCUCAUUUAUCCUGCUAACUUUUCCUUUGUUUUCCUUGUUGACCACAGACCUAGUCCAAUCUGGCUAGAAAGUAAUUUGAGCAAGGAUUUUUUUUUUAGAUACAUGCAUACACACUAUCAUG